rnacentral:lncRNA from 1 species
AAAAGAUUUAAUUGAUAGGACCAUGGCAAUUUGAUAUUCAGUGGAAGAGAAGUGUUUAAAUUUUCUAUCUUAUAAAUUCUACAUCAUAUACAUUGUUUAAGUAUAUUCAUAUUAUUUUGUGUAAAAAAAAAAAAAACAAAGAAGAAGGCAGUGGCGAAGCCAGAAACUUCAUAUAGAGGAGACACCUUAAAUAUUGAAAUGAUAUUUGUA